rnacentral:rRNA from 1 species
UACCUGCAAGUCGAGCGGACAGAUGGGAGCUUGCUCCCUGAUGUUAGCGGCGGACGGGUGAGUAACACGUGGGUAACCUGCCUGUAAGACUGGGAUAACUCCGGGAAACCGGGGCUAAUACCGGAUGGUUGUUUGAACCGCAUGGUUCAAACAUAAAAGGUGGCUUCGGCUACCACUUACAGAUGGACCCGCGGCGCAUUAGCUAGUUGGUGAGGUAACGGCUCACCAAGGCAACGAUGCGUAGCCGACCUGAGAGGGUGAUCGGCCACACUGGGACUGAGACACGGCCCAGACUCCUACGGGAGGCAGCAGUAGGGAAUCUUCCGCAAUGGACGAAAGUCUGACGGAGCAACGCCGCGUGAGUGAUGAAGGUUUUCGGAUCGUAAAGCUCUGUUGUUAGGGAAGAACAAGUACCGUUCGAAUAGGGCGGUACCUUGACGGUACCUAACCAGAAAGCCACGGCUAACUACGUGCCAGCAGCCGCGGUAAUACGUAGGUGGCAAGCGUUGUCCGGAAUUAUUGGGCGUAAAGGGCUCGCAGGCGGUUUCUUAAGUCUGAUGUGAAAGCCCCCGGCUCAACCGGGGAGGGUCAUUGGAAACUGGGGAACUUGAGUGCAGAAGAGGAGAGUGGAAUUCCACGUGUAGCGGUGAAAUGCGUAGAGAUGUGGAGGAACACCAGUGGCGAAGGCGACUCUCUGGUCUGUAACUGACGCUGAGGAGCGAAAGCGUGGGGAGCGAACAGGAUUAGAUACCCUGGUAGUCCACGCCGUAAACGAUGAGUGCUAAGUGUUAGGGGGUUUCCGCCCCUUAGUGCUGCAGCUAACGCAUUAAGCACUCCGCCUGGGGAGUACGGUCGCAAGACUGAAACUCAAAGGAAUUGACGGGGGCCCGCACAAGCGUUGGAGCAUGUGGUUUAAUUCGAAGCAACGCGAAGAACCUUACCAGGUCUUGACAUCCUCUGACAAUCCUAGAAGAUAGGACGUCCCCUUCGGCGGCAGAGUGACAGGUGGUGCAUGGGUGUCGUCAGCUCGUGUCGUGAAAUGUUGGGUUAAGUCCCGCAACGACCCCAACCCUUGAUCUUAGUUGCC